GACGAACGCUGGCGGCGUGCUUAACACAUGCAAGUCGAACGGAAAGGCCCUGCUUUUGUGGGGUGCUCGAGUGGCGAACGGGUGAGUAACACGUGAGUAACCUGCCCUUGACUUUGGGAUAACUUCAGGAAACUGGGGCUAAUACCGGAUAGGAGCUCCUGCUGCAUGGUGGGGGUUGGAAAGUUUCGGCGGUUGGGGAUGGACUCGCGGCUUAUCAGCUUGUUGGUGGGGUAGUGGUUUACCAAGGCUUUGACGGGUAGCCGGCCUGAGAGGGUGACCGGCCACAUUGGGACUGAGAUACGGCCCAGACUCCUACGGGAGGCAGCAGUGGGGAAUAUUGCACAAUGGGCGGAAGCCUGAUGCAGCAACGCCGCGUGCGGGAUGACGGCCUUCGGGUUGUAAACCGCUUUAGCCUGUGACGAAGCGUGAGUGACGGUAAUGGGUAAAGAAGCACCGGCUAACUACGUG
rnacentral:rRNA from 1 species